rnacentral:rRNA from 1 species
GCUUAACACAUGCAAGUCGAACGGGCUUACGGAUUCACCGUUGAGCUUUAAGAAGUAAAGUCACUUCGAGCGUCGUGAAUGCGAAGCAUUCACCACACUUUUAUAAAAGUGCUAACACUCUUAGGGUUGAACGGUGAAGCCGGAAGCUAGUGGCAAACGGGUGAGUAACGCGUAGGCAACCUGCCUCUAAGAUGGGGACAACAGCCCGAAAGGGCUGCUAAUACCGAAUGUUGUAUCUUUGCCGCAUGGUGGAGAUAUUAAAGAUGGCCUCUACUUGUAAGCUAUCACUUAGAGAUGGGCCUGCGUCUGAUUAGCUAGUUGGUGGGGUAACGGCUCACCAAGGCGACGAUCAGUAGCCGGUCUGAGAGGAUGAACGGCCACAUUGGGACUGAGACACGGCCCAGACUCCUACGGGAGGCAGCAGUGGGGAAUCUUCCGCAAUGGGCGAAAGCCUGACGGAGCAACGCCGCGUGAGUGAAGAAGGUCUUCGGAUCGUAAAGCUCUGUCGAAGGGGACGAACGUGGGUUCUAUCAACAACGGAACCCAAUGACGGUACCUUUCAAGAAAGCCACGGCUAACUACGUGCCAGCAGCCGCGGUAAUACGUAGGUGGCGAGCGUUGUCCGGAAUCAUUGGGCGUAAAGGGAGCGCAGGCGGGAAAUCAGGUCUUGCUUAAAAGUUCGGGGCUCAACCCCGUGAUGGGCAAGAAACCGGUUUUCUUGAGUGCAGGAGAGGAAAGCGGAAUUCCUAGUGUAGCGGUGAAAUGCGUAGAUAUUAGGAGGAACACCAGUGGCGAAGGCGGCUUUCUGGACUGUAACUGACGCUGAGGCUCGAAAGCGUGGGGAGCGAACAGGAUUAGAUACCCUGGUAGUCCACGCCGUAAACGAUGAGUGCUAGGUGUAGGAGGUAUCGACCCCUUCUGUGCCGGAGUUAACGCAAUAAGCACUCCGCCUGGGGGAGUACGGCCGCAAGGCUGAACUCAAAGGAAUUGACGGGGCCCGCACAAGCGGUGGAGUAUGUGGUUUAAUUCGACGCAACGCGAAAACCUUACCAGGGCUUGACAUUGAGUGAAAGGUCUAGAGAUAAAAUUCCUCCUCUCGGAAACACGAAAAACAAGGGGGUGCAUGGCUUGUCGUCCAGGCUUGUGUCUGGAAGAUUGGGUUAAGUUCCGCAACAGAGGGCACCCAUCAUUGUUGUCUGCCACCUCAAGAUGGAACUCAAUGAACUGCCCGGCACACCGAGAAGGCGGGAGUGAGCUCUAGGUCCUACAUUGUCCUAGGUCUGUGCUACAGUAUAUAAUUGGAGUGUAC